AAAGUACCCUCCGUCCCAAAAUUCUUGUCUUAGAUUUGUUUAGAUACGGAUGUAUCAAGUCACAUUUUAGUAUUAGAUACAUCCAUAUCUACACAAAUCUAAGACAAGAAAUUUGGGACAGAGGGAGUAGUCG
rnacentral:pre_miRNA from 1 species